GUUUUAAUAGUUUAAUAAAAAUAGUAAUCUUGUAAAUUACUGAUAGAAUCAUCUUUAAAAUU
rnacentral:tRNA from 1 species